GUCGCCAUACCCCAGUGGUCAACGGGAAGUGGCUCAGAACCGUUAGCGUAGGUCCUCCCGAGGUUCGAAUUCUCGCGGCGACA
rnacentral:tRNA from 1 species